rnacentral:rRNA from 1 species
GACGAACGCUGGCGGCGUGCUUAACACAUGCAAGUCGAACGGAAAGGCCCUUCGGGGUACUCGAGUGGCGAACGGGUGAGUAACACGUGGGUAACCUGCCCUCAGCUUCGGGAUAACUCCGGGAAACCGGGGCUAAUACCGGAUAUUCAUUGUCUGCCGCAUGGUGGGUGGUGGAAAGUUUUUCGGCUGGGGAUGGGCCCGCGGCCUAUCAGCUUGUUGGUGGGGUGAUGGCCUACCAAGGCUUCGACGGGUAGCCGGCCUGAGAGGGCGACCGGCCACACUGGGACUGAGACACGGCCCAGACUCCUACGGGAGGCAGCAGUGGGGAAUAUUGCGCAAUGGGCGGAAGCCUGACGCAGCGACGCCGCGUGAGGGAUGACGGCCUUCGGGUUGUAAACCUCUUUCAGCAGGGACGAAUGUGACGGUACCUGUAGAAGAAGCACCGGCCAACUACGUGCCAGCCGCCGCGGUAACAC